GACUGUUCUUGUAUAUGAAUCCGCGAAUGGCUCAUUACAACAGCUAUCGUUUACUAGAUCUUACCCUGUUACUUGGAUAACUGUGGUAAUUCUAGAGCUAAUACGUGCAAAGCGCUUUCUCUUUGCGGAGAGAGUGAUUUUAUUAGACUAAAGCCAACCGAACCUAAGGGUUUGUUGGAUGGUGAUUCUGAAUAACUUGUCUGAUCGCACGGUCUCGCACCGGCGACGUAUCUUUCAAAUGUCUGCCUUAUCAACUUUAGAUGGUAGUUUCAGCGCCUACCAUGGUUGUAACGGGUAACGGAGAAUCAGGGUUCGACUCCGGAGAGGGCGCCUGAGAUACGGCGGCCACAUCCAAGGAAGGCAGCAGGC
rnacentral:rRNA from 1 species